rnacentral:rRNA from 1 species
UACGGGGGGGGCAAGCGUUGUUCGGAAUUACUGGGCGUAAAGGGCUCGUAGGCGGCCAACUAAGUCAGACGUGAAAUCCCUCGGCUUAACCGGGGAACUGCGUCUGAUACUGGAUGGCUUGAGGUUGGGAGAGGGAUGCGGAAUUCCAGGUGUAGCGGUGAAAUGCGUAGAUAUCUGGAGGGACACCGGUGGCGAAGGCGGCAUCCUGGACCAAUUCUGACGCUGAGGAGCGAAAGCCAGGGGAGCAAACGGG